rnacentral:rRNA from 1 species
UAGGGAAUCUUCGGCAAUGGACGGAAGUCUGACCGAGCAACGCCGCGUGAGUGAAGAAGGUUUUCGGAUCGUAAAGCUCUGUUGUAAGAGAAGAACGAGUGUGAGAGUGGAAAGUUCACACUGUGACGGUAUCUUACCAGAAAGGGACGGCUAACUACGUGCCAGCAGNCGCGGUAAUACGUAGGUCCCGAGCGUUGUCCGGAUUUAUUGGGCGUAAAGCGAGCGCAGGCGGUUAGAUAAGUCUGAAGUUAAAGGCUGUGGCUUAACCAUAGUAGGCUUUGGAAACUGUUUAACUUGAGUGCAAGAGGGGAGAGUGGAAUUCCAUGUGUAGCGGUGAAAUGCGUAGAUAUAUGGAGGAACACCGGUGGCGAAAGCGGCUCUCUGGCUUGUAACUGACACUGAGGCUCGAAAGCGUGGGGAGCAAACAGGAUUAGAUACCCUGGUAGUCCACGCUGUAAACGAUGAGUGCUAGGUGUUAGACCCUUUCCGGGGUUUAGUGCCGUAGCUAACGCAUUAAGCACUCCGCCUGGGGAGUACGACGGGCAAGGUUG